UUACACAAAUAUGAAGGCGGGCUGGAACCUCUCGGGGUUACAGCCUUGCUGAAUUAUUCACCCUUGUCUUUUGCGUACUUCUUGUUUCCUUGGUGGGUUCGCCCACCACUAGGACAAACAUAAACCUUUUGUAAUUGCAAUCAGCGUCAGUAACAAAUUAAUAAUUACAACUUUCAACAACGGAUCUCUUGGUUCUGGCAUCGAUGAAGAACGCAGCGAAAUGCGAUAAGUAGAGUGAAUUGCAGAAUUCAGUGAAUCAUCGAAUCUUUGAACGCACAUUGCGCCCUUUGGUAUUCCAAAGGGCAUGCCUGUUCGAGCGUCAUUUGUACCCUCAAGCUUUGCUUGGUGUUGGGCGUCUUGUCUCUAGCUUUGCUGGAGACUCGCCUUAAAGUAAUUGGCAGCCGGCCUACUGGUUUCGGAGCGCAGCACAAGUCGCACUCUCUAUCAGCAAAGGUCUAGCAUCCAUUAAGCCUUUUUUUCAACUUUUGACCUCGGAUCAGGUAGGGAUACCCGCUGAACUUAAGCAUAUCA
rnacentral:rRNA from 1 species